UAUCUUUAUGGCAAAUGUGAGAUGCAGUGUAUGGAAUGUCAAAUUUCUAGUAUGAGAAAUUAGCGAUUUAAGUCCUUCUUAAAUGAGGCCAUUUACCCAAAGAGGGUGCCAGGCCCGUAUAACGUUAAUGAUUACUAGAUGACAUUUCCAAAGAGUCGUGUUGCUUGAUAGUGCAGCACUAAGUGGGUGGUAAACUCCAUCUAAAACUAAAUAUAACCAUGAGACCGAUAGUAAACAAGUACCGUGAGGGAAAGUUGAAAAGAACUCUGAAUAGAGAGUUAAAUAGUACGUGAAACUGCUUAGAGGUUAAGCCCGAUGAACCUGAAUAUCCAUUAUGGAAAAUUCAUCAUUAUGAUUUUAAUAUUAAUAAUAUUAUAAUAAUGGUGUGCAUUUUUUCCAUAUAAGGACAUUGUAAUCUAUUAACACAUAAGAUUUAUUAGAAGAUUAUUGGCAUUAGUUUAUUCGAAUUAUUUUGCUUGCAAUUUAACAUAGAAUAAAUGCUUUUGAUUUGAUAAAGCGUUGAUAGAUUUAUUUAUAUAUAGUGCUUGAAUAUAUUUAUAUAUAUUCUAUAAUAACAUACUGAUCAACGAUUUUUGUGUUCCAUUUAUAUGCACUAUAUGAUUAACAAUGCGAAAGAUUCAGGAUACCUUCGGGACCCGUCUUGAAACACGGACCAAGGAGUCUAACAUAUUUGCAAGUUAUUGGGAAUUAAAAACCUAAUAGCGAAAUUAACAUAACUUAUAUAAUGGGAUUAGUUUGUAGUACUAAUAUAUAGUAUAUUAAUUCAAUCCCGGGGCGUUCUAUACAGUUAUGUAUAAUAAUAUUUAUAUUAUUUAUACCUCUAACUAGAGCGUACCUUGAGCAUAUAUGCUGUGACCCGAAAGAUGGUGAACUAUACUUGAUCAGGUUGAAGUCAGGGGAAACCCUGAUGGAAGACCGAAACAGUUCUGACGUGCAAAUCGAUUGUCAGAAUUGAGU
rnacentral:rRNA from 1 species